rnacentral:lncRNA from 1 species
CUACUGUUAUUUCAGAUUCACAGUUUGUUUGCCAUGCUGGGAUUCGAAUUUGUGAAUAAAUGAAGGUAACUCGUUUGUUUGUAUACGGCAGUCUUUUGUAUUUACACGCGGCUGUAUACAAGGGUACAGUUUGGUUUCUUUCAAUUUAGGAGGGGGAAUCCUGGACAAGAUGACCUUAGAUGUCCAUCAUCAGUGGGGAAAGAAGAUGGAGGAAAAGGGGUCGUGGGUUUUUUUUUCUGUGAGAAGCCCGUUCUUCAUUUUUUGAGGGAAAAAUUGGAGAAGAAAAAAGUUUUUGAGCUGAGAAACACCAACACAAACACUGGAGAAUUUGCUGCUCGUCGCUGUGUGAGCGCCUGCUUGUUCUUUUAAAAACCCAAUUUGCUGAGCUGCUUGAUGUCUAAGCCGCUAUCCGCAUAGUAGUCUUGGCUAUGAAAAGAAGAGACGGGGAAAACAUAAAAAAAGGACAGGAAAACAAGGAAAAAAAGGAAAAAAAAGGAUCAAUCAACAUGUUAGAUGCCGUAAUCAAAAACCAUCACUUGGGAAGAAAAUGCGAAAAAGUACGAAGUUUUUUUUGUUUUUCAGUUCAGUUUUUCAGUUGGCUUUACGUCUCGUAUUCUUUUAGUUUCCUUUUUUGAUUUGACGCAUGCGUCAUUAGUUGCUGCUGUUUCGAAACAGAAUUAUACAGGGAAAAGAAGGUUGGCACGAGAUUGAAAAGUGCGCAAAAGAAGGAAAGUGUGUUGGUGGAUGUCGAUAUAAUUUGUUUCCAUUUAAACAACGGCCUCAUCAGCAAGUGGUUCUUCGACCACGAGAACCUCGGUGACUGGACGAGGACGGAAAGAUGGCCGGCUGGUGACGGGCUUCUUGGGAGCAGCUGCCACCCUGACAGGGGCAGCCUCAGGUGCUGGGGCAACACCAGCCUGGACUUCAGUGUUGCGCAGACUAUUCAGAUCCAGCGUCCCGUAGUAGUCGGCACUAAAAUGUGUAGAUGAGGGAUGGGUUUAUAGGGUUUCAAAUGGUUUAAUGGAUUAGCGAGGUUAUUUAUUUCUGUUCAUGCAUUGUUCUUCUUUUUUUAAUUGUUUCAUUUAACUUUCAGGUGAGGUGAGAGAAAAUGAAAGAGUGACCCAAUCAUGCAAAACCGAAGAUUUAAAAAUCAUGCAGUUUUAGAAUUUUGAAUGUCUCGUCAUUGAUUUGUAUCAAGUCAAGGACUGUGAAGGACAUCGCGAAAUUCUUGUAUGGGAGAAAAAUAAUUGGUGAUCUUAAAAACAAAAAAACAACAGAAACUUACCAUCCUUCGACUUCCUCGGGAUCAGCGCAGAAACCGGAUUGGUCAUCGAGUCCGAUCUUGAAGACCGUGCCGAGCGGGCAACCGUAUUCGCGGGCGUUACCGUUCAUGCAAACGUAGUACUGACGGCAAUCCUCUGGGUGGGCGUGGCGACUGAAGGCACCGGUGGCGACAUCUCCAGUGACUGGACAAAUGAAUCCAUUUCCAACUUCUAUGGUAACCAAAAACAAAAUGUUCGUGUCAGAGAAGAUGAAAGGUUUAAAAAAUUAAUUUAUUAUCUACCGACCUUCUUGUUUACAGUUGGCAACCUGAUCGGCCCAGGUACAAACGCGGCUUUCCCGGCUGUAAGCCAAGCCGGGGGCGCAUUGAUAACGGCUAGCUUCGCCGUUCCAGCAGCUCCAGAAAACAUCGCAUUUGGUCUCGUCGGGGAAGACUCCGUGCAAGCUAGGGCAGUGAGGAGUACUGAUUGGUGGUUCUGUUGAUGAAAUAAUUUGAUUAAUUAAUAUCUGUUAUGGAGAUUUGUUGAAUUUGUAUUGGAAAUCAGGCACUUACCAAGUUCGAGACGAUCUCCGCAUUCGAUGUUGUAGACGUAAUCGCAGUUUUCACGGUUGUUCUUGGGGUCGGUGUCAUCGAAAGCCAAGCCAUUGCCGCAGACUUCCAGCGUAGCCACUCCAUCUACGCAUUUCCAGUAUUUGUCGCAGGAAAUGUCGUGAGCGAAGAAGCCGUUUUCCUUCGGGCAAACAAACGCAUCGCUGCGAAUGUUCUGGGCCGAAGCUGUCGUGAUUGAAAGAAAGUCCAGGUGAAAGCUGGCGAGACUGGAGAAAGUUGUUAUCUCGAAUUCAAUCAAGUCACGAGAAGAAAGAAGAAACUUGUUCCUCUACCCUUCAUCGAAGGAUAUCCACGAGCUCAGACGCCAUCGUGGUCCGUACAAGUGAAAGCUCAUCGGUGCAUGUUGCACGUGCCUGCGAUAAUCGUCACCCGACAAAAUAAAAGUACAAACGAAGCAAAGAGAAAUGGCGUGAAACGAAAUGUAACACUUGGUUUCCCAAUACAUUCCAAUAUCUUUGCUGGCACCUGGAACCUUGUAAAGGCCAGAAAAGUGAAAGGACGGAAACCGCAGAACAUUCAACCCGACGUGUGUACAAUUCGAUUGUUCAUUGAUUGUUAUUGUGUCGUAUGAAAUUGCCGUAAUGUACAGAUCUGGGCUCGACGAACUCUCCAACAAUCAGGUAACGAAAUGGCAAUUUGUUGUGUCAGUUGGAUUUUUCUCUUGUCACAGACAUGAUUUGAAAACAAAACAAAAAACUAGCCAUUUCAAGUUAAGUAUCAUCGUGGCUUGGAAAUCGAAACAAUAUCCCAAACUAUGUGGUCGUGACGUGAAGAAAAAAAGAGAAAGAAUUUGAAUACAAAUUAAUAAUAAUGUGAUGGAUAGAUUGGAAAAUCACCGAAAGAAAGCUUGACCAGUGCUUGUGUGUGGCAAGUUUACUUGCUUGACCCGUCGGUCUCUUUCUCUCCUUCUUUUUCUUUCUUUUGGUUUCGUGAUUGGAACAGCGUAUGAAAUGCCUGCGUUCACCAGAAAUGGAAAUCGUUUCACGACGGGGGGAAGGAGAGCUCUCUAGAGAGAGGGAGAGCGAAGAAGGUAAAAAAAAGGAAGUUAAAGAAAGAAAAGGGACGUGUAUAGUCAUAUUGCCAGAAGGAAAUCAUGCGCCAGAAAAAUGCUAAAACCACAUUUCUCAGGAAAAAUGAGAUUUCUCCAUUGAGCCAAUUUUGCUUUGCCCAUUUGACAGUUGCUGCAUGUCAACACAGACGUUUCGAUUUCCUUUGUCUCCGUGAUUUACGUGUUUGUGCUCACUGACAUCAGGUAAACAGACCUGAAAAGUUUAAAAAGAUGCAUCACUUUCUCCUUGACGAAAAAAAAAAAAAAUCACAGGUACAAAACUUGCCUAUUCCAAACAUAUUAUAAACGACAAUUUGUGCUGGAACAUAAAUUCUGUUGCUAUAUGGAGGUCUAGAGGUAAAAGCUCAAAGUUAAUAUGGUUAAAGAAAGAAAAUGACCAACAAAAAGAGAAACUUUUACUAAAUGGUGGGUUUGUCCCUUACCCUCGAGCCAAACUUUUAGAAAAGAAUUUCGGAAAAUAACCGACUAUCCCUGUAAUUUUAUUUCACUAUUCUCAAGGUGAUUUUCCAGCUGUUGUCGGUUGUUUCGUCUUCAGUGUUCCGGUCAAGGACCAACAAGAAAAAAAAAGGUAACCAUUUCCCCUGCUCUUUCCAUAUAUAUAUUUUUUUUAUUUCUAAGAAAAUGAAAAACAGGUAAAUCAAAGUGUUUUGGAGUUGGGGGGAGAGUCGAGGUGAAAACUGUCUGCUGUUAAACCACGUGGGAAUAGACCCAUCAUUUGGCGUGAGUAGCUACAGUGAAACGUUUCGUGUGCUUCAUUUUGCAUCACAGUUUCGUGUGUAAAGUUUAUAGCAGAUAAAGUGUCAUGGUGUUAUCUCUUCGUAACAACGUGAAAAGAAGACGAGGU